rnacentral:rRNA from 1 species
ACGAACGCUGGCUGCAGGCCUAACACAUGCAAGUCGAGCGAGGACUUCGGUCCUAGCGGCGGACGGGUGAGUAACGCGUGGGAACGUGCCCUUUGCUUCGGAAUAGCCCUGGGAAACUGGGAGUAAUACCGGAUGAGCCCUUUGGGGGAAAGAUUUAUCGGCGAAGGAUCGGCCCGCGUUGGAUUAGGUAGUUGGUGGGGUAAUGGCCUACCAAGCCGACGAUCCAUAGCUGGUUUGAGAGGAUGAUCAGCCACACUGGGACUGAGACACGGCCCAGACUCCUACGGGAGGCAGCAGUGGGGAAUCUUAGACAAUGGGGGAAACCCUGAUCUAGCCAUGCCGCGUGAGCGAUGAAGGCCUUAGGGUUGUAAAGCUCUUUCAGCUGGGAAGAUAAUGACGGUACCAGCAGAAGAAGCCCCGGCUAACUCCGUG